UCAAUUACACCUGCAGGUGGAAACCAAAUUAUCAAAACGAAGACAUCAGCUUUGCCAGAGGAUUCUCCCUGGCUCCCCGUUUGGGCCCAGUGCCAGCCCCUCACCCUGAUGCAUGUCAGCAUCCCAACUCUUCACACAACAGCCUGGCAAGCAUUUGUUUUGACAGAGGCAUUGCAUUUCACAUGUCUUCAGCUUUCAUGGAAGGCAGAAAAAUUCCAAAACUGCUUUACUGAGCAACACUGAGCAACCCAACACCACCGACAGCCAGGACAAGCAGAAAACAACAGCUUCUUUGUGUCUAUGUCAGACCUUCCCGUUAUUUGUAACUGCCUGCUGACAUUUCCCUGCACCACAAAAUGAUUUUAAAUUACAGUGACAACCUGGUCUUUCUUGUGCUAAAGGCUCAGAUUUACAAAUAGCACAGGACAAGGGCUGAUCAGCAGCCUUCAGACUGCUUUCCUGCCAGGAGAGCACCCCUGGGGUCUCCUGUGACUCAGUGAAUGCCAGCUUGACCACUCUCUCCAGGCAGCUUGGGAGGGACACACAUGUACUCAAUGACCUGUUCUGGUGAAUAGCAUCAGCUGCUGGUGUUGGCCAAUGCAGGCAGUAAGACAAUCAACAGCUGCUACUUGUGAGAGCAGUGGGUGGGAUCUGUUUCCAGGAAAGAGACUGGGAAUUUGUGUCCUCAGUGCACCCACAGAAUCUGCUUUCUUGAAAGGAGACAGCAGAGAUGGUUGUAAAAUUUCCUGAGAGAAGGAGAUGCAGUGUCACCGCAGAUGCUCUUCUUGUUACCAAGGACUACCGGUCAUGCACAGUAGUGAUGUUUGCAGAAGCAUAAGACAUGGCAAACCAAGUAGAUAUAAAGCAGCUGCAAGCUGCUUGUUUGGGAAGAAUUUCAGCAAAGGAUUAGCAUGCAUGGGAAAUCUUCACCCUCGUUGCCUGUGGAAAUGCCAGCCCUGAUUCCCACAACUUUAGUUCUCAUGGCCGUGACCUGAACACCUAUUAGUUGACUGUAGGCAUCCUGAAAAGCUUGUGAAAUGAGUGAUGCUUAGGUCAAGGGACACCAUGAAUUAUGGUGUGUGCAUC
rnacentral:lncRNA from 1 species